rnacentral:rRNA from 1 species
CGGGUGAGUAAUGCUUGGGAAUCUAGCUUAUGGAGGGGGAUAACUACGGGAAACUGUAGCUAAUACCGCGUAGAAUCGGGAGAUGAAAGUGUGGGACCUUCGGGCCACAUGCCAUAGGAUGAGCCCAAGUGGGAUUAGGUAGUUGGUGAGGUAAAGGCUCACCAAGCCGACGAUCUCUAGCUGGUCUGAGAGGAUGACCAGCCACACUGGAACUGAGACACGGUCCAG